AUGGAAUAUUUGAAAUCUAGUAAUAUUACAUUGAAGUUCAGUGAAUUUAACACAAAUAGUAAAUAUCAUCAUGUGAAAUGUAAUAAAAGGCUAUGUAUUCAGCCAAAUUCUGAAAUUUUUGUUCGGGCAAAUGUGCCGAAACAUUUAUCUGUUGGUCUUCAAGGUAUAUGUACAAACAAUGUGUUUUCGUUAGGAAAAGGACUGCUUCUUGCAAAAGCGUUAGUCACUGUGUCAAUUGAUAAAACUAUUCCUUUGAAGAUAAUGAACCCUACAAAUACAACAAUUUCAGUCUCUAAAGGGUCAAUCUUAGCGAACUUUCAGAUAUUGAAUGCUGACUUUAGUGUUAUAACUGAAGACAUUAAAUGUCCCCCUGUAGUUCAAAAUGUACAGAUUGGAUCCACUCAUCCGAUUAUUUCAACGAGUAAAAACAAUGAAUUUAGGGAUGAAACUAAAACAGUGUUUUUGUCGAAUUUUAGUAUUCCUGAACCAUUAAAUCCGGAACAAACAACGCAAUUAACUGACUGUUUAUAUGAAAACAAAGACAUUUUCGUCACAAAAGAAAAUCCUGAUCUAGGGUUCUCAACUUAUGUACAACAUAAAAUAAAUCUUAAACCUGAUGUUAAACCAAAACACCAACAACCGUAUCGACUCCCGCCACAUAAAAGAGAAGUAUUGCGGCACCAUUUAGACGAACUCCUUAAACAAGGAAUCAUAGCACCGAUUAGCGAGGAAGAAAAUGUGCCUAUCACAAGUCCAAUAGUAUUGGUGACUAAACGAAAAAGACAAAAUGAUGCUUUUCAAAGUGAAAAGGAUGCAGCCCUAUCACAAUAUAGAUUUUGUUGCGAUUUUAGAUAUUUAAAUUCAUGUACAGAACAGUUUAAAUAUUUUAUUCCUAAUCUACAAGAACUUACAGAGUCAUUUUCACAAUUUGUUCCAAACUAUAUAUCGUCAAUUGAUUUGUCCUCAGGAUUUUUUCAGUUAGGCAUUGACCCUGAGUCUUCACGCUACACCGCAUUUAAUACAUGUUUUGGUACAUAUAAAUUUUUGCGUUUACCGAUGGGACUUUCGUCAUCACCAGCAUCUUUUCAAUUACUCAUGGACAAAGUUUUGCAUGGGCUAAAAUUUAAGUCAUGUCUUUGUUACCUUGACGAUGUUUUGAUAUGCUCGGAGACAUUUGAGCAACAUAUUACUGACUUACAAGAAGUUUUUCAUAGAUUUCGUUCUGCAGGUCUUAAGUUAGGACCAAAGAAGUGUUCGUUUGCUCAGUCGUCAUGUAUCUUUUUAGGCCAUUCUAUUUCAAAGGAAGGAGUUAGUCCGCCACCUGAUCGGGUACAGGCAAUUCAGGAAUACCCACCACCUAAAAAUAUAAAAGAGCUACGGCGUCUUAUAGGAAUGCUUAACUGGUUCCGAAAAUUUAUUCCGAAUUUCAGUGCAAAAAUAUCACCAUUAACUAGAUUACUGAAAAAGGGUCAGUUUUUCGUUUGGAAUGUUGAACAACAAUCGUCAUUUAAUGAUUUGAAAUAUGCGUUACUGAACUCAAAAAUAUUAGCAUUUCCCAAUUAUGAUUUGACAUUUAGACUUGCUGUAGACACAUCUUCGCGUGGGAUUGGUUACAUGUUAUAUCAAAUGCAUCCUAAUGUAAACGGUGAAGAACAACCAAGAGUUAUACGAUUUGGUUCAAAAUCGUUAAGUAGAUGGCAACAGUCCUAUGGACCGACAAAACUCGAACUUUUGGGCAUGGUAGUUAGUAUACUAGACUGUGCUGAUUAUUUACGUGGAAAUAAAUUUGUUGUUGAAUGCGACCAUCAAGCUCUGAGACCUAUUUUUCAAAAACAAUUCAAGGGUGCAAUUUAUGAACGAUGGAUGGCUAUUUUACAACAAUUCAAUUUUGACCUGCAAUAUAAACCGGCAGAACAAAUGCAAGUAGCAGAUGCAUUGUCCCGAUGUACGAGAAAAAAUGAUGAACCCGUCAUCAGUCCAGAUGAAGAUGAUCCAUUCUCCCUUACCGAAAAAUAAGCCCUGCGGCAAACAUUUGCCGCAAGUUUGCAGCAAACAUUGCCGCAAGCUUGCAGCAAACAUUUGCUGCAAACUUGCCGCAACCAUUUUACCAUGCAAAUGAAGUUUGCGGCAAGCUUGCGGCAAACAUAAUUAUGCAAAUUAGAUUUGCUGCAAGCUUGCGGCAAUUGUUUGUUGCAAACUUGCCGCAAACUUGCAGGAACUACACAUAUACCAAUGUCAUGUGCAUGUGUAGACACAUUCAAUUUAUCUCUUUCAAAUUACACAGCACCAUUUUUAAAAAGUCAAUUCCUGUCUUUAUACAAACAGUCAUUGAAAGAAUUCUUGCAAACUCAUGAGAUGUGAGGAAAUACAAACAUGUAUUUGAGUUUUGAAAAAGGGACAGGAGUCAUUCUCAAAUGACAUAAUAAACCUGUAUUAAAAACUGAAAAAGAUAAAAUCUCAAGAUGUAUUAUAAAAGCAUUACAGAAUUUAACUUAAUCUUAAUUAGUACAUCAGUAACUAAUUCAAACUUAUAAUAGCUUAAGUUUUUCAAUCACACAUACAUGUAUAUAUAGUUGCUUACUUAAUUAUGUAUGAUGAUAACAUUAAUUAUUUCAUUAAAACAUGCAGUUUUAUGAAUCAUUUGUACUUACACAAUUACAUACUGAUUAUCCCAUAUUAUUGAAUCAAAUGCCUCCUUGAUCUCUUAUAUAUGUGAAAUGCAUUUCCAAACACAACCAACAUGACCUAGCCACAAUUUCAAAUUGUUAGCAUCCAGGAAGUGCCAACUAGGCAUGCCCAGUCAAUAUUGUGUAAUUCCUGCAAUGUUCUGGCAAACAUAUAGAAUGGUCAAAGUUUUCUGCAAUCUUGCGGCAAACAUAUUGAAUGAUCUAAGUUUUCUGCAAUCUUGCGGCAAACAUAUUAAAAGAUCUAAGUUUUCGGCAAUCUUACGGCAAACAUUCUUAAUUAUUUUAAACUUUCUGGCAAUCUUACGGCAAACAUUGAUGUUUCUGCAAACUUGCCGCAAGCUUGCAGCAAUGUUUGCCGGAAGUUUGCAGCUAGCGGCAAACAUCUGCAAACAUUAUUUUCUGUGUUCCUGCAAACUUUUUGUUUGCCGCAAGCUUGUAGCAAGUCUGCUGCAAGUUUGCGGCAAACAAUUCAGUUUCAUAAGGGCUUUCCUUAUGUCACAGAACGAACUGGCCAAAUCAAAUUGCCGUCCGGUAGAAAUUUAGCUGACUUUCUUCAUAAUUCUGAAACCGAAUCCGCAACGGUCAUAAAUGUAAAUAAUGUAAAUAAUAUAGAUAUUUUCUCUGAAUGUGUUUAUGAUGCUGAUACAGACGAUGUUCUUGAGACACCAAACAAAAAGAAGAAAACUAAACUUAACAAAAAGUGUGAAACUGUAAAUGUUACCCAAGUUCAUAACAAUGACUCUUUAUAUGAUAAAUCAACUGACCAGUGUAGUGACAAAAUAGACAUUUUUGAUAUUUCCACGGUGUAUGAUACGCCAAGUGACAAUAAUUUGAAUAAACCUACGCAAAAUCAUGACAAUACUUUAUCGGAACUUGAAAUUUUUAAAAGCAGUGAUUUAACACCCCAAAAUAUUAAAGAUUUGCAAAGGAAAGAUCCUGAUUUAUUACCUAUGAUUAUUUACUUGGAAGAAAAUAAACUUCCUAAUUUACAGAAAGAAGCUAGGAAAUUAUUAUUACAAGCGGCUGAUUAUCUUUUGAUUAAUGGCGUAUUAUUUCAUAGCUCGGUAAAGAAGAAAUCCCGUAGAGCAAGUAAUUUAGACAAUUUUCAACUUGUGGUUCCGAGAUUAAUGAGAAAUUUAGUGUUACACAUGUGUCAUGAUUCACCUCUAGGAGGUCAUUCUGGAAUUAAAAAUACAAUCGAUAGAGUACGUGAACAUUAUUAUUUUUCGAGGUUAUCUACAAUAGUAUCAGAAUAUGUCAGGACAUGUCACGAAUGCCAAAUACGUAAAACCUCAAGUGUACACACUAAAGCAGGUAUAAUUUCUUUUCCGACACCAUCAGCACCGUUUCAGGUAUGGGAAGUAGACUUAUGUGGGCCUUUCCCACUUUCAUCGGCAGGACAUUCACAUAUAUUCACUGCUGUUGACAUGUUUAGUAAACUUGUGUUUGCUGUACCUUUGCAUAAUUGUGAUGCGCUGUCUGUAUGUCAUGCACUUUUUCAAUUAUUUUCGUCUUAUGGUGUUUGCCAUACUUUAUUGAGUGACCAAGGGUCAGAAUUUAUUUCAAAAGGUACAAAAGAACUAUGUAAAAUGUUGGAAGUUUCCCAAGAGUUUACACCAAGUUUUGCACAUCAUUGUUUAGGUACAUGUGAACGUUCACAUCGAACAUUAGAAGAACGAAUGACUCCAUAUAUAAGAAAAGGUCGACCUUGGAAUGAUAUUUUACCAGCUGUAAUAUUUUCAAUGAACUCCUGCACAAAUGCAGCUUCACAAUACUCGCCGUUUGAAGUGGUAUAUGGUAAUAGACCCCAAUUUCCGCUUUCAACUCCUCAUGAUUUAGAUUUAAGAGAUAUUCCAAAAGAUAUACACGUUUACCUUAAACAAUUGCAACAAAAAUUGAGCACAAUACGAAAAGAAGUCCAAAUAAACGUUGAAAAGGCAAAUGCUAAAAUGGUUGAAAGAGUUAAUAAAACAACAUCACCUCUAAAAUUGUCAGUUGGAGACUAUGUGUAUUUGCACGACGAGCCUAUUGGUCAGGGACGAAAAUUACAAGCUAAAUUUACGGGACCUUUUAUUGUUGAUAAUAUACCAAGUCCUCAUUUAAUUAAAAUUAGAGAUCCUGAAAACAAGCGAAGACUUCGAAUGCCUGUACAUAUAAAUAGAUUAAAAAUGGCAUAUAUUCGUGCCCCACAACCACAGCCGUAUUUGCAACACGUAAGUGAAAGCCAAAGUUCAAAUACUACUGUCGAUUCUUCUACUUCGUCAUAUUCUGAACAAGUCCCCGUACGUCAGUCAACUAGACAUAAAAAGCCACCCGCAAAAUUUAACGACUUUGUUAAUUUAGAUUCCGAAUUAGGAACAGAAUCAAUAUCAUCAGACGACAAUCGAUAUCAUAAAAUCAAACGUGUUUUAGCAAGGAAAAUCGAUAAUAAUCAACUAAAAUAUCUUGUACAAAUUGUCGGCGAGCCAGCACAAAAUUCUAUAUGGGUAGAGGAGUCAAGUUUAUCACCUAAAGCAAAGAAGAUAGUUCAAAAUAGACCACCUCCAAUGAUACUGUGA
rnacentral:sRNA from 1 species